GAUGAACGCUGGCGGCGUGCCUAAUACAUGCCAGUCGAGCGAACAGACGAGGAGCUUGCUCCUCUGACGUUAGCGGCGGACGGGUGAGUAACACGUGGAUAACCUACCUAUAAGACUGGGAUAACUUCGGGAAACCGGAGCUAAUACCGGAUAAUAUAUUGAACCACAUGGUUCAAUAGUGAAAGACGGUUUUGCUGUCACUUAUAGAUGGAUCCGCGCCGCAUUAGCUAGUUGGUAAGGUAACGGCUUACCAAGGCGACGAUGCGUAGCCGACCUGAGAGGGUGAUCGGCCACACUGGAACUGAGACACGGUCCAGACUCCUACGGGAGGCAGCAGUAGGGAAUCUUCCGCAAUGGGCGAAAGCCUGACGGAGCAACGCCGCGUGAGUGAUGAAGGUCUUCGGAUCGUAAAACUCUGUUAUUAGGGAAGAACAAAUGUGUAAGUAACUAUGCACGUCUUGACGGUACCUAAUCAGAAAGCCACGGCUAACUACGUG
rnacentral:rRNA from 1 species